rnacentral:tRNA from 1 species
GGAUGCAUGGCUUAGGUGGUAGAGCACUUGCCUAGCAAGCAUGAGACCCUGAGUUUAAACUCCAAUGUUACCA